rnacentral:rRNA from 1 species
UACGUAGGGGGCUAGCGUUGUCCGGAAUCAUUGGGCGUAAAGCGCGCGUAGGCGGUCAGGUAAGUCCGGUGUGAAAGUCAAAGGCUCAACCUUUGAAUGCCGCUGGAUACUGCCUGACUUGAGUCCGGAAGGGGCGAGUGGAAUUCCUGGUGUAGCGGUGGAAUGCGCAGAUAUCAGGAGGAACACCAAUAGCGAAGGCAGCUCGCUGGGACGUUACUGACACUGAGGCGCGAAAGCGUGGGGAGCGAACAGG